AAAAAAUCAUUCAAUGACAACAAUGUUUAUUAUCUAAACAUGGAUGAAUGUUUGGUGUAUGAUGGCUUUUGCAGUGACUUUGACCCUUUAAAUUUAGCAAUGAUUUAUCGGUAUAUUGGCAUAAUGCGAGAGAAAUUUAAAGUAAGUAGAUGAGUUGCCUGUUUAUUUACAUAUAAUGAAAUGUACUAAAUAAUUUUCUUAUGAUUGAUAGUCAGGAAUAGAUAAAUGAAUAAAUAUUUGUAUAAAUAAAAUUAUACCUUUAAAAACCAAAACCAUAAAUAUUUUAUUGAAUUUCAUAAUAAUAGUAAUUCAUUAUAAUGAUACUUCU